GUCAGGCCUGGGGGGUCUGUGAGGUUGUUACUAACCACCUGUAAGGGGGAAGGCAGGCAAAAAACCUCUCCAGGUAGAUUUGUGACAGGUGAGGAGCACCAGGAUGAAUCCAGUGUUUCUCCACAGCAUAUGUGCAAUGCAAACAUCAGAGCACACGCUCGGUUUUGCUCUGUAACAACAUCAACAUCACAGAGGAGCGUAUCCAUGCAAAACCUUUAUUUGGAGCAUGUCUCCUGUGGGACAGCAGCACCCCUCCAGUUUACAUGUAAGCACAGAAGCACGGUAAUUUGCAUUGUGCAGAAAAAAAUACAAAGAAGAUU